GACGAACGCUGGCGGCGUGCUUAACACAUGCAAGUCGAGCGGUAAGGCCUCUUCGGGGGUACACGAGCGGCGAACGGGUGAGUAACACGUGGGUGACCUGCCCUCAGCUCUGGGAUAAGCCUGGGAAACUGGGUCUACUACCGGAUAUGACCUUUCCUCGCAUGGGGUUUGGUGGAAAGUUUUUUCGGCUGGGGAUGGGCCCGCGGCCUAUCAGCUUGUUGGUGGGGUGAUGGCCUACCAAGGCGACGACGGGUAGCCGGCCUGAGAGGGCGACCGGCCACACUGGGACUGAGACACGGCCCAGACUCCUACGGGAGGCAGCAGUGGGGAAUAUUGCGCAAUGGGCGGAAGCCUGACGCAGCGACGCCGCGUGGGGGAUGACGGCCUUCGGGUUGUAAACCUCUUUCGACCCCGACGAAUUUGGACGGUAGGGGUAGAAGAAGCACCGGCCAACUACGUG
rnacentral:rRNA from 1 species